rnacentral:rRNA from 1 species
UCGUAACCAAAAGUUCCGUAGGUGAACCUGCGG